rnacentral:lncRNA from 1 species
GGACGUAGCACAGUGACUCUCCGGCCGGUCGAAACGUAUGCCUCUUGCACCUGCCACGCACGUGGGUGCGCGUGGCCAGCGAACGGCGCGACGCCCGAGGCUGCUUAUUACUACGCGCGCGGCGCGGAGAGCGACCGAGGAGAGGAGGGAGUAGGCCCUCUCGCGCUGGUGCCGGUGCCGUGCGUGCCUCGGACCUGUUCGUCCACGGCCAUGCAGAUGCAAGCAGGUUCGUGCCGUCGCGCUCUUUGGCCGCUGAUCCGCUUCCUCUCUCUCCCGCCGUUCCAUUUUGCUGCUGCUUCUUUUGGAGUUUCUCCUCCCCUCCCCCUGUUUUGGACGACGGUCUCUACGAGCGUUCGCGGCGCGCGUCGUAGGCUGCAUUUUGCAUGGCUCAAUGCGUGUGCUCGAGUUGUUCUUGCUGCUUUGGCUUAUUUAUAUAUUAUUUUUUACGGGCAUUGGCUGAUUUAUAGUAUAACACAGAUUAUCUAUUGUAAUGUACAGCGGGGUCAAGCUAACAUGAGCGACGGCGGGCGUGCGUGCCCGAGGGCAGGAGGGAGGAGGACGUUUGUAGCUCCGGUGGGGUGGGCGUGCCUCCACUUUCGGCGCCGGACGGCGGUGACCUACACUAGCUAGCUGGAGGCCGGAUGGGCGUUCGCGUCGUACGUGGGGGCCUGCCCGUUCAUCUGAGGCGCACCGCGUGUCAGGUGUGUUUCGCUCGUAUUCUUCCAUUCCAUUCCAUGAUCAACAUGCUUGCUUUAUGUAUAUCUCGCAAAAAAAACAUGCUUUAUGUACAACAUUUACAUCGAUUUAGAAAACACCAAACAUCAACAGGACGAGAACAGGGGAGUGGUCCAAUGGUUGGGUUCGCAGUGGUGCCACCCAGCAACCAGGAUUCGACUCCAAUUUCUGGAAUAUAUAAAAUUCUCGCUAAUGAGGCCUCAAAAUAAAUUGCCAUUCCAGUUUUUUUGUCUGUCCGCAAUUACCUCUUCCUCCGCCACUGCGAACAUUAUCACAACGGCUUCGGCACCAUGGGAUCACAAACAAGCCUGACACUUUGCUUAAUGCACACAUGAAUAUACAUAUUUUUUUCCCAACCGGGCAAUGCCCCUUUUCAUUAAUAAUUGCUUAACGGAAAUACAAACAUCCGUCUCUGCGGUUAGACAUGAAUAUGAUCCUCACCAAGUUCACAGGAAACAUCUGCAUUCCUGUUAUAUAAAGUGCAUCCGCAUAAACUGAUUUCCCAUUUCAGUUGCUUUUUUUGAGACAGAGAUCAUUCCGUUCCAGAUAACAGGGCUUGUUGACAACAGAUUGAUAGGUUCGCAUAAAUAUAUCACAGAGUCCGAACGAGGCACAAGGCAACCUUUUAUUGAUUUUGCACCCUUCUGCCUUGAGUCAUACAAGCUGCAGCCCUGACAACUCUUUCAUACCCAACAACUGGGGAAGAGUGUUGCAUCUGGAGCAGAGCAUCCCUUGUACAGAAUGCAGGCACAGCACAUGACGCUCAAGUCCUUCCUCCCUCCUGUCCCCUAGGGCCUUCGGAGUUCUUGCCGCUUGCACUCGUGCUUGCCCCGCUAUUUUGUUGCGCCAACAUCUGCAGAAACAAAGCAAAGCUUGUAAUUUAAUCUUUGUACAUGGAUUCAGACGAUUUAUUUAGAUGCUUACAUUUUGUCUUGUUUAAAUUUAUCAACUAUAUUGCCUUGUAAGUCAUUGUAUAGAUUUAACUCUCCAGCCAGGUUCUGUUUCAACACCUAAUUUCCUGUUUGCAGGUAACUGACAGGAGAUCUAUACUGAUGUCUCCAUUUUGUCUGUCAUUUCAGGCAGCCUGCAAUACAGACCGGCUUACUAAUGCUAUGGAAUAAGCUAGACAAUUCGCAGAAUAAUUGAAUAGGAACCCACUUGUCACUGGCCUACUAAAACAAAAUUCCUCAGAAGGAUUUCAUUAUCUUCGGCACGAGGUCAGAUUUCUCUAUGCAUACGUGUGUCUGUUGCUUGGAUUAUAUCCACAAGUACAGUUCUACAGACACACACACACAAAAAAAAGUACAGUUCUACACAAUCAAGGGCUGUAGCACACAAACCUUUAUGCCCUGUUUGGAAUGGAUAUAACUUUUGUGUGGGCACCAGUUUGAACUAACUACCUGUCAGGAUCUUGGUAGGUUGG